AUUCUACUCCCUCUGUUGCACAAUACUACAUGCAUUCUAUUUGUCAAAAUAUAUAUGUAUCUAGACAUGUCUUAGUAUAUAGGUACAUCCAUUUUUGGACAAAUGGAAGGCAAGUAUUUUGGAACGGAGGGAGUACACA
rfam:Triticum aestivum genome assembly, contig: Triticum_aestivum_CS42_TGACv1_scaffold_500301_6BL